rnacentral:rRNA from 1 species
AUUGAACGCUGGCGGCAGGCCUAACACAUGCAAGUCGAACGAGUGGCGGACGGGUGAGUAAUGUCUGGGAAACUGCCUGAUGGAGGGGGCUAACUACUGGAAACGGUAGCUAAUACCGCAUACCAGCGGAUGUGCCCAGAUGGGAUUAGCUAGUAGGUGGGGUAAAGGCUCACCUAGGCGACGAUCCCUAGCUGGUCUGAGAGGAGUACCAGCCAACCUGGAACGGAGACACGUGCCAGACGCCGACGGGAGGCAGCAGUGGGGAAUAUUGCACAAUGGGCGCAAGCCUGAUGCAGCCAUGCCGAGUGUAUGAAGAAGGCCUUCGGGUUGUAAAGUAUUUGCAGCGGGGAGGCGUUACCCGCAGAAGAAGCACCGGCUAACUCCGUGCCAGCAGCCGCGGUAAUAC